rnacentral:piRNA from 1 species
GAAGCUGUGAUUCAACUGGUAGAGGAAC